UAGCAAUACAGCUGAGCCAGGAGGACACAGAGAGGCAGAGAGGCGACGACACAGAGUCCACCCCCUCCUGGCUCUCCCCUAAUUCGAAUGCAAGGGCAUGCGGCGGCUUCUCGAAGCCCCGUCGAAUCCCUGAUGGAAGAUGCUGGCCUUGAGUUCUGGCUGGAUGCCGUGGACCAGUCCCCCCUCUGGGAGGAGUUCGCUGACAGUCUUGAAAAUCCAGAUCCGUCCCUCUGGCAUUAUUAACGCUAGACAAAGACAACCAUGCCGUGCCGGCGGACUCGAAUGCUGCCUCUGGAUGUGGGCAGCAAGUUGGUGGCGCCGUGCCGGAGAGGCCGACCUACGGCGUCGGGAGGCAUGUCCACGAAGUCAGCUGACAGAGUCAACCCUGAGCCGCAUGGUUGGAUGAAAAGGCGGGGCAUAUGACUUCUACAACUUGUAUUCCUGGGAGAUCAGAAUCGGAAUUCGGUAUGGCAACAGCUUUCCUUUAGAUGUUUCCAUCGGCGGUUGAAUCAUUGCAAGUGUGAUGACGGGGUAACUGACAGCGGUGUCGCUGGAGCAAGAGUAGAGGUUCAGUUCCCGGACACUUCGAACUUGGGGUUGCAGCAAGUGCUUGGAGCACGAAUUUGAUGCUGGAGCAAGAAGGCCAUGGCGUGGACGAGGUGAGCGGAAGUGUUACCACUGUUGUGUUGUCUGUUGAUCUCCGGAUGAUUUGUUUGAAAACCAAAACCGGCUGCAUUUCCAUGGAGAGGUGAUUCAGCGGGGGGCCUCAUUCGGAUAAGAUCUGCAAGCAGGAGUUGGACAACAAGAGCGGAGAUGGUUCACUUGAAGGAUUCGGCGAGCAUGACCCAGCCGGUGGCGCGCUGGCCGACUUCCAUGGUGUUGACACUGAUAUGGACAAUGGAUCUCGCGUGAUCUGUGGUGCCGAAGAGGUUGAUUCCAGUGGAGAAGAGGUGAGCAGCAGGUAAGCGAAACGACGGCGUACACAGGCUUGUUUUGCGACGUGAGCGUAUCACCAGAGGAAAGAACUGUGUUUCCACUGCUCCCCUUGUCCAAGAUGGGCACACCAUCUUCAACAGAUUGUUGUAUUGUGCGUGCGGUGUGUUUUAGAUUGCAGAUAAAAAGAAAACCUGAUAGUGUGUUUAUAUGAUGACUAA